UCGAGCGGCUUGGUACAUGUUUUUUGUGCAUAUUUAAACUUCUGCCAUGUUUUUCAGUAAUUUUUCAUUUUAUUUCUUUAUAUAACUCUGGGAAUUCCUUGGCAAACUUAUUCUCAAGCAUAUUCUAUUUCUGUUCCUAGUGCUAUUAGAUUUAAUUAUCCUUUCCCCAAGCACAUACACACACACACAUGCACACGCACACACACACACACACACACACACACACACAAACACAUACCCCACUUAUUUCCCCUAACAGGCAUAUUUCAGAAAUAGUUUAUUUAUCAUUACUUGGAGAACUCUCCGAUAGUAAUAGCUCUCCAACUUAUUUUUUUACAAAUAAUCCAGAUAGAUAUUUUGUUUCCAAGUAAAUAAUCGUAUCUUCUGUAAAUGAUUAUAAUUUUGACGUCUAUUGUACCAUUUUUAUGCCUUAUUUUACUGGCCUGCUUUGUUCUGUUGGAUAAAAGCUUCAGAAACAAAAUAAUCAAUGGUCACACAUCUUGAAAAUAAAAAUCAGGAGUGUUACGUUCCUGUAAAACACUUGUAGAGAUGGACCUUACCUAUAAGCAAUUUUCACAAUAAAACUUCAAUGAGAGCCAUACAAAAAAUAUCCCACAGAGAACCAACUAUCUCACUGCUGACCAUAUGCUGAGAAGGAAACAAAAAUGGAACCCUGUAGACCCAAACCCACUAUAGCACUCCAAGCUACAGGAUCAGCCCAGUUAUCUGUCCAUCAGCCAACGAAUGAAGAACACAUGAUGGAAAAACACAAAAGAGUUAUUCAGGCCUAGAAAGUGAAUUUGCAUCAUGUGCCAGAAAAGAAAAAAAAAAAAAAAAGGAUACAACUGGAGAUUGUUGUGUUAAGCAAAGAAACCUGUCAGGGACAUAAAAGUGUUACAUGGUUUUUCUCAUAGCUGGAAUCUAGACCAAAAGGGGGAAAUAAAACUUAAAAAUGGGGACUCUUAGGAAAUGGGAAAGGGAACAAUGGGAGUAACAGUGGCUAAUUUGAUUCAAUCACAUUGUAUGUGUGUUUAAAGUAUCACAGCGAAACUCGUUAUUUUGUAUACUUUAUAUGCAUUAAUAACUUGGGUAAAAUAGAGCAAAAAGUUUAAGAAGAGAUUAGGCUGAAGAACCGCAUCCUUUUAUGUCUGUACAUAAAAGGCCUCUGUACAGAGUUCAUAACUGACUUCCAUUGUCUGCUACAUAAGGGCAGAGCAAGAUGCCCCCAGUGAGCCGGAGUCAGCACCUUCGCCUUGGACUUCCCUUUCUCCUGAACUGUAAAGAAUAACAGUCUGCUCUUUACAAGUAACCCAGUCGUGACUAACUUGGGGGAAAAAGUAGAUUAAAUGAAUGCCCAAUUAUAAAUUACCAAAUCUACCAAUAAUAUAUUUUUUUAAAUCUGUUACUUAGAAAAUUCAACUGCUAGUAGUAUCUGACUUACCUAAAGAUCAAAUCUACCAGUUACUUGGAAUUUUUUCACGUUACUUCAAAGAUAAUCAAUAUACUUUUCAUAAAAACCCAAGGGUCAUGAACACCAAAGAUAAAAAUAGAAAAGAGUUUUGCAAACUAUAAUAAGCUAUUCUUGUCACAUUCAUGUCUGUGGAACAGAGCAUCCAACGACAAACCUUACUCGAGGAGAAGUCUGGCUAAAAUCCAAAACAGUGCAACAGAUUAGAGCACAGCUAGCAGUAUGCUGUGUAGCUCAGUGCUAGUACACUUAUCCAGCAUUUACUAGGCUCUGGGUUCAGUCACCACCACCACCACAAUAGUUCCAGAAAAAAAAUAUGCAGAAAUUUGGGGGUUCUAUAAUAUGGAGCAUUGUAUUAUAUCUCUGUAUUAAACAGCAUCACACAAAUUUAAGUAAAAUGUCACUAGAAGAAACCAUUCAAUAAGCUCUAAGGGAGAGGGGGAGGUGAUCUUUCUGUGGGAGUUCAAUGUGUGGGCAAGAUUUCAACAUAUGAAAAUAGCGCAGGCCAGAAAGUUGGACAGAGGAACCAGUGAAUUCCAUGGACAGAGUAGAGAGUAGAAGACCAGAAUGAUGCACAGAGCAGAUAAUCUCACACUAAAAACACAGACAAAAGAAGUUAAUAUGAGAAAAGAACUUCCUCUCUACCCUACUCCAUCUUCAGGAAUUUUCCUUGUGGUAUACCCACAAAGGGUCCCAGCAAUGACCUUAGACUGUAUGUUUCUGUCAUAGAUGUCUAUGUCAGGAUUUCCACACGAAGGGGACACAGUCAAGCAAAAUCUUCAAGAAGGAAAAACUUGCUAACAACAUUCAAAACUGAGAAAGAGGUGUCUGGAAACCAGAGGCUUGGAAGAGGCUUGCUGGAUAAUAUAUUCCAUGAUAUGAGUAAGACGUCCACUCUGCAACCUCCUGCCUCAAGGAGCACUGUCCCCAUCACACGUCUUGAGUUAAUCAACCAAUUCUAAUGUAAUAUGUAAAAUUACAAUGCCGGUGCCCCUUCAACAGUCUGUGACAUUUUUGCCUGUGCCUACAAGAGUCACUCUACAUUCCUAGACUUUAUGAAUCUUAACUUAUCCCAGGUUUCCUUUGUUAUUCAUCUCAGCAACACUUUUCUCAGGCUUCAGUGAGAGUGGCCAUCGUGUUCUGUCUUAAUUAAAUGCUUAAUAUUGUUAGUUCCUUCAACUCAGGGAAUGUCUGUAAGUAAGGGCUUUUGUCGUAUAGAUAUUUUCAACAUCAGGUACAUAGCAUCUCAAGAGGCCCACACAGAGGGCAUCAACUCAAUAGCAAGAUGGAAGUAGGACCAUGGACUAACAGGGAAGCCGUGAGAUUGAAAUCCACGAGUUUGAAAUGCAUGAAAACAGCAGUUCUGAGCUGGCCUCUAGCAGUGGCAGGCAGCGUGGGAACAUCUACAGACGCUAGUCAAGGCAGUCAGUUUUGUUUGCUUUGUUUCUGUUUCUGUUACUGUUAGUUUGCUUGGACUUCCUCAUAGCAACCGUCCUAUUUAUGUGCUGACAUCAGAGGUGGUUUACUGUCAGCCUCCAAAUCCAGUGAUGAAGUCACCACUAGGCGACAAGGACCUGGUUGCAUCUGUUGCCAUGGGAACCGCCACACACUCAAGGCUUGUGCCUUACCUGUGCAACCACCAGAAUAAAAGACCCAGACUCCUUGCCCCUUCUUCUACUUUUUCCUCUUCUCUUCUUCACUCCCCCGCACCCCCAACCAAAAAACCCUCUUCUCGUGGAACUGUGGAAGCCUGGCUUGAUCUGUCUGGGUAUGUUCAUUCAAGAAAAUGAAGAGGGAGACUUUUGACCAGUAGGAAUCUUGAUUGUCAACUGGUUGAAGAAAAUACCAAAGAGACACACAGAGAUCACUUACACAUCUGUGAUGGUGCUACUUGACACGACUGGCGUGUGGGACAGCACCUGCAGUGGAAAACAACAUUCCUAAAUGUGAGAAACACUAUCCAAGAGUCUACCAGUCCCAGUGGACAAAAGCAAAGGAGGAAGGCUGGGCACUGCAAGCUCAAUUGCUCUCCAAGUGAAGGCCUUUUGUCUCAGCAGUGAAAAAGUUUGCUUACACAGGUGAGGGGUUCUGUGAAAACAGAAGCAAGAAGAGAGCCACCGCAGCCAUUAGCCAAGGAACAAUAACAAUUGCCGGAAGCCACCACAAGGUAGAAGAGGAACUGGCGUGCAAUUUUGUCUCAGAGCUUCCAGAGGGAGCUAACCAUGCAAACGCUUUGUUAUCAUCUUCCAGCAGAGCUGACACAAGUCUCACAGUCUUAAAAGGGAUGAAACUGAAGAUUUAAGUGGAUGUGAGUGUCGCGGACCUCUGAGAACCAGCAAGUCCCCAUUUUAGGAGAAUGCCCCAAUAAGCAAAUGAUUGAAAAAAGAGGCCUGGCUUUAAUCUUGGUUUCCAGACCUGUCUCUGAGGUGAGGUGGGUAUCAUGCAACUUCUAUGACCAUCAGCUUCCUCACCUGUGCGAAAUGCCAUUUAAGUAAUGUAUUCAAAAACUUCUGGGCCUACCCUACCACAAAGGUUUCAUAAGAAUAAAGCAAAAGCAAGGUAUAGAAAUCUCUAGUGAGUUGUAAAACAUUACAGAAGGGGGAGGUUUUAGCAGUAGCAUGCAUGUUCCAGAUUUCCAUCCUAGAUGCCUGUACUGGCUGGUUUUGUGUGUCAACUUGACACAAGCUGAUG